AACGGUAUAGUUUAAUAAAAAUAAGUGUUUUGCAUAUACUAGAUGGGCAUUAGGCUCUAUUGUU
rnacentral:tRNA from 1 species